GGGUGAACACUACACUCAGGUUCAAUGGUUAUGUGAAAGAAUAGUGGCUGAUUUACAUCUCCAUGUGCUAAAUGAAGACAGAGCAGGCCUGAUAAGGCCUUAGGACAAUGAACAGAUGAGAUAACUCUUUCUUCUUUUGUUUUUAAAAUACAAAAUGCAACAACGCUAAGAUGAUAAGAUGAAGGACAACGAUGACAAAGAACGAUGAGGAUGGUCAGGGAGAAGACAGACAAGUAAGAUUUAUUUAGUUAUUUAUUUAUUUUAGGAAAAGCUCCAAAAGGAUCCAAGAGGUGUUUCCUCAGCAGCGGCUGAAAGGGAACUGAGGAUUUACCAUAGAGUGUACAGAAAAUGAACAGCGCAGGUAAUCCAUCUAAUGGACUUUUAAGGCUCUGGAGUGUUCUGAUAGAGUUUCACACAAGUGGAGAAAUAACCCAUAUUUUUGAUUCACAGAAACCACAAAGAAGAAGAGGUGGCCAUCUGUAAAGGAAGAGGAAAUGGCAAGCCGUGGUCACCAGGAUUGCCAAAAUCUUUCCUUGGCAGGCACCUCUUCCACUUGCCCUUGGAGAUGACAGCUAGGAAUGCUGCUGGUGCCAAUGCACCUUUCUUAUUGCAGAGUGUCUCGGAGCAUCGAAGAAAACAUAAAACUGAAAAGAGUUGGAGCGAGAAGAGACUUGUUUCCACACGGUUUGUAAUAAGAAAGAGUUCAGAGAAAGCGCUAUUGUCAAGGACAUGAGUUUUCGUACCUCAGCA